AUUGAACGCUAGCGGGAUGCUUUACACAUGCAAGUCGAACGAGUGGCGGACGGGUGAGUAAUAUAUCGGAACGUGCCCAGUAGCGGGGGAUAACUACUCGCAAGAGUUGCUAAUACCCCAUACUAUUGGAGCGGCCGAUAUCGGAUUAGCUAGUGGGUGGGGUAAAGGCUCACCAAGGCAACGCUCCGUAGCUGGUUUGAGAGGACGACCAGCCACACUGGUACUGAGACACGGCCAAGACGCCUAGGGGAGGCAGCAGUGGGGAAUUGUGGACAAGGGGGGAAACCCUUAUCCAGCCAUCCCGCGUGUAUGAGAAGGCCUUCGGGUUGUAAAGUACUUUUGGCAGAGAAGCGGUAUCUGCAGAAUAAGCACCGGCUAACUACGUGCCAGCAGCCGCGGUAAUUC
rnacentral:rRNA from 1 species